AUCCUCCUAAGGAAACAUGGAUCUCUCUCACAGGCUUGGUCUGGCUUGGUGAUAAUGUGACCCUCACCUGUCAAAGUAAAGCCAACCCUCCUGCGGUCCACAGGUGGUUCAUGAAGAGAGCAGGUGUAGAGGAAGAACUGAGCAUCUCACGUGUGCUUUCCUUCACUGCGGCCCAUGAGAACACUGGGGAAUACAUUUGUGAGGCACAGAAUCUAUACGGUGCAAUGAAUUCCACAAACCUACAGAUCACUGUCCUAGGCAUAUCCUUCACUGCUUUCCUCUCAAUAUGGGCAGUUUUCUUACUGUUUAAAUUUGCACUUGUUGCUAUUCUUAUUCUUAUGACUUACAGAAGGUGUAAAGAACCGAUUAGAAGUGAGACAAACCAAGAUCAGAACGUUUGCGUCAAUGUGUCUGCAAGUGCAGUGAAAAACCAGCAGCUUCAGUCAAAGCCAUGUGAAGAUGAGGACAACUGCAUCAUUAACCCUGAACACACAUUCAAACAUGAUCUCCCCGACGAAUACACCUAUGGCAACUGUUAA
ensembl:lncRNA